CCAGAUUUCCUCUCUGUGUCUGCGACCAUCUCUCCCACCCCUCCAGGCUGUAGUUCAGAUGGGACAGAGAUAAUCUGUAAUCUUCCUUGCUCUUUUGUCUAAGGAUGAAGCACAGUGUCUGGGACUCUUGAAUUGGAGACCAAUCUGACAGACAGAGGAAGAGGUUAUUUUAAAACCCUAACUAUGGAUGGAACUGGAAGAAAUAUCCUUUUUGAUACCUGUCCUUCUAUCAUGCUUAAGUUGCUCCUGAAUUCCACAUUACUACUCGCCUGCAGAUAGAAUUAAACAGACUCAUAUUCUAGACACAA